rnacentral:lncRNA from 12 species
CAGUCAUUCUUAUACUGGAAAUCUCUUCCAUCUCUGGAAUUUUCUCACUCAUUAUUUUAUCUCUUUUCCAUUAUCCUCUUCUUUCUGAGAAGAGAGUUUCUUCAGAAUGGCUUCAAACUUAUUACUUGAAUUCCCAGUAGUAUAAAUUCUGGUCUUUAUUGUUUCCAAGCUACAUUUAAUCCCAAGGGAAAUUUUAUUCCCUUCAAAAUAUUUCUUCUUUAUUUUUUUUGUUAAAGAUUUUAUUUAUUUAUUCAUGAGAGACAUAGAGGGAGAGAGGCAGAGACACAGGCAGAGGGAGAAGCAGGCUCCAUGCAGGGAGCCCCAUGUGGGACUCCCGGGACUCCAGGAUCAUGCCAUGAGCUAAAGACAGACACUCAACCAUUGAGCCACCCAGGUGUCCCUAUUUCUUCUUUAUUUAUCUCUGUCCAUCAUCAUGCUACCCUCCUGCUUUAUAUCUCAAUCUUUCAACAUAUCAUAUAAUUUUCCAUUUCUUCUUUCAUAGAGCAGUUUCAUGCAUUGUAUUGAGAAUACAAACACAACAGAUGCUUUAUAAAGUACACUUCUUUUUCAUAUUAGUACUCUUUCAAAGACUCUUCAGAGAAACAUAUCUAUCUUUAUGCUAUAUAACCUUGAAAAAAAUAAGUCUAAGAUACAUGACUGAAAUAUACAGUUGAUCCUUGAAUAACAUGUGGGUUAGGGACACCAACCCCUUAUGCAGUAAAAAAUCUACAUAUAACUUUGACUUGCCAAAAGCUUAACUACUAAUAGCCUAUUGUUACCUGGAAGGCUUACUGACAACAAACAGUUUAUUAACAUAUGUUUUGUCUGUAACAUUUAUUGUAUACUGUAUCUUGAAAUAACACCUAACUUUCUUUCUUUUCUUUUCUUUUUUCUUUUUUUGACUAUUUCUAGGCUACAUGGUUUAUCUGCAAAUAUUUUCAAAUUGUUGCAAAUCUACAAAAAAAAAAAAAAAAAACUUACCAAUAUAUUUAUGUAUAUAAGUGAACCUGCACAGGUCAAAUUCUUGUUGUUCAAAGGUCAACGGAAUGUUGUUCUUCAUUCCAUUUCCAUGUAUUCAUCAAGAAUCAAGCUCUUUCCUCGCCCACGGCAGGAGCAGCACUACAGUAAUAUCCUGGCUGGAAGACUCAUCCUCAGACUGAAUGAAGACCCCCGAGAUCCAAAUCUGGGGGGAUGCUGCUGAGCAAGGUUGAGAAGGGUGAGUGCAGAGAGCCGCCCAAUGGAUUAGAUAACCUGAAGGCAGGGGUGGGGUUAGUUGAAGGAUGAUGUAAAAAGAGGUGGAAGGAAAAAACUGGGUGCAUACAACUGUUUUAAUCAAAUUUCCUGUGAAAGCCAGAAUGAUGCUGGCAAUCAAGUAGACUGGAGGGUGAGGCACAGAAGAGCUUUUUGUGAGACUGUGUUUGUUUGUGUGUUUGUUUGAAGUGGAAGGGGCCCAUCUAGCUACAUUUCAAAGGGAUUCUUGAUGGCAAUCACUGAGCUAUUUUCUGCCCUCCAGAUUUCACCUUUACCAAAAUGUCAUAUAAAUGGGACCAGACAGUGUGCCCUGUUCCGAGUCUGCCUUCCUGCACUGGGCAAAAUGCAUUUCAGAUUCAUCCAUGUUGUGUGAAUCAAUAGUUCAAUCCCUUUUAAUUGUCAAGGGGUAGCCCAUCAUAUGGCCGUGCCAUGGUUUCUUUAUCCAUUCACCACCUAAAGAGCCAUUGAAUCAUUUCUCCGUCUUCACAGUUAUGAAGAGAGCUGCAGUAAGCACUCACAUGCAGAUUUUGUGUGUACAGAAGCUUUCCUUUGUCUUGGAUAAAAUACCCAGGGGUGGGAUAAGCGUGUCCUUUGAUAAUUGUCUGUUUCAUUUUAUAAUAAACUGCCAACCUGUUUUCUAAGUGAGCUGUGC